GACAGAGGGGGCAAGCGUUGCUCGGAAUCACUGGGCGUAAAGGGCGCGUAGGCGGGGAGGUAAGUCGGGUGUGAAAUCCCUCGGCCCAACCGAGGAACUGCGCCCGAGACUGCUUCUCUUGAGUCCCGGAGAGGAAGAUGGAAUUCCCGGUGUAGCGGUGAAAUGUGUAGAGAUCGGGAGGAACACCGGUGGCGAAGGCGGUCUUCUGGACGGUGACUGACGCUGAGGCGCGAAAGCGUGGGGAGCAAACGGG
rnacentral:rRNA from 1 species